rnacentral:misc_RNA from 1 species
AAGUCGUAACAAGGUUUCCGUAGGUGAACCUGCGGAAGGAUCAUUAACACUUAUCCAAACGUUAAAACCCCCCCCGUGAACCUUCAUCCUGCUCUUGUAAACUACAGGAAUCGUAGAAGCGCUAUCCUUGCACAAUCAAUGACACUUUCCGACACUGACUGCUUGGAGAAACAUUGCCUAUAGAACUACCGCUCGAUUGUAACUGUUCCAAUGUUCGCACGUAGCCAGAGGUCUCUGAAUCACUACAACUUUCCGGGCUAUGAUUUAUCAGAGAUUGCGAACUACGCGGGUUAGACCGUACACUCGGGCAGGAGCUUUGCCAAAGGGCCCCCUAAUAACCCCACAGUUUAAUGUGAAGCUCAAUGUAAUACAUUGGGUAAAAAAACCGAACAACUGUUAACAAUGGAUAUCUUGGUUCUC